GACGAACGCUGGCGGCGUGCUUAACACAUGCAAGUCGAGCGGUAAGGGCCCUUUCGGGGGUACACGAGCGGCGAACGGGUGAGUAACACGUGGGUGACCUGCCCUCAGCUCUGGGGAUAAGCCUGGGAAACUGGGGUCUAAUACCGGAUAUGACCCCAUGACGCAUGUCGUGGGGUGGAAAGCCUUGUGCGGCUGAGGAUGGGCCCGCGGCCUAUCAGCUUGUUGGUGGGGUGAUGGCCUACCAAGGCGACGACGGGUAGCCGGCCUGAGAGGGCGACCGGCCACACUGGGACUGAGACACGGCCCAGACUCCUACGGGAGGCAGCAGUGGGGAAUCUUGCGCAAUGGGCGAAAAGCCUGACGCAGCGACGCCGCGUGAGGGAUGAC
rnacentral:rRNA from 1 species